rnacentral:rRNA from 1 species
UGGGGAAUAUUGCACAAUGGGCGCAAGCCUGAUGCAGCCAUGCCGCGUGUGUGAAGAAGGCCUUCGGGUUGUAAAGCACUUUCAGCGAGGAGGAAGGGUAGUGUGUUAAUAGCACAUUGCAUUGACGUUACUCGCAGAAGAAGCACCGGCUAACUCCGUGCCAGCAGCCGCGGUAAUACGGAGGGUGCAAGCGUUAAUCGGAAUUACUGGGCGUAAAGCGCACGCAGGCGGUUUGUUAAGUCAGAUGUGAAAUCCCCGCGCUUAACGUGGGAACUGCAUUUGAAACUGGCAAGCUAGAGUCUUGUAGAGGGGGGUAGAAUUCCAGGUGUAGCGGUGAAAUGCGUAGAGAUCUGGAGGAAUACCGGUGGCGAAGGCGCCCCCCUGGACAAAGACUGACGCUCAGGUGCGA